UACGGAGGGUGCAAGCGUUAAUCGGAAUUACUGGGCGUAAAGCGCGCGUAGGUGGUUUGAUAAGCGAGUGUGAAAGCCCCGGGUUAACCUGGGAACGGCAUUUCGAACUGUCAGGCUAGAGUAUGGUAGAGGGUAGUGGAAUUUCCUGUGUAGCGGUGAAUGCGUAGAUAUAGGAAGGAACACCAGUGGCGAAGGCGGCUACCUGGACCAUACUGACACUGAGGUGCGAAAGCGUGGGGAGCAAACAGGAUUAGAUACCCGUGUAGUCC
rnacentral:rRNA from 1 species